rfam:Bosea sp. WAO WAO_contig_6, whole genome shotgun sequence.
UCUCUUCCCCCCCGCGACCACAGCGCCUAUAUUCGCUUUGCCGUUCGCAAGGACGGCUAUGGCGAUAAACGGACGUCGUAAUAAGCCUUUCGGACCCGGGGGCGGUACCCGGCGCCUCCACCACAGCCCUGCGGCGCGAGCGGCAGGAGACUUGCAGCCCUCGGGGUGCAGGGCUGCGGCGGGGGCGAAAUAGGAUCGACGAGGGUGUAAAGGCCGUCUUUUUGCCCGGUAUUGUUCCGCCGUUACAGGGCUAACGCAUAGUUGCCAACGACAACAAUGCUCGGGUUGCUGUCGCCGCGUAAGCGGUGCUGGUUCCCAAACCUAAGUCCUUCCGUUUAGCGACGUAAGGCGGGGCUCGGAGGCGCCUGGCAACAGAAGCCUCCACU